rnacentral:rRNA from 1 species
CACGUAGGCGGCUUUGUAAGUAAGAGGUGAAAGCCCAGAGCUCAACUCUGGAAUUGCCUUUUAGACUGCAUCGCUUGAAUCAUGGAGAGGUCAGUGGAAUUCCGAGUGUAGAGGUGAAAUUCGUAGAUAUUCGGAAGAACACCAGUGGCGAAGGCGGCUGACUGGACAUGUAUUGACGCCGAGGUGCGAAAGCGUGGGGAGCAAACAGGAUUAGAUACCCUGGUAGUCCACGCCGUAAACGAUGAUAACUAGCUGUCCGGACACUUGGUGUUUGGGUGGCGCAGCUAACGCAUUAAGUUAUCCGCCUGGGGAGUACGGCCGCAAGGUUAAA